rfam:Pseudogymnoascus verrucosus strain TAMH 10579 unplaced genomic scaffold scaffold_27, whole genome shotgun sequence.
ACAUACGACCAUAGACUCAAGAGACCUGGGCAUCCCGUCCGCUCUGCCAUACAUAACCUUGAGAUCGGUGGAUUAGUAGUUGGGUGGGUGACCACCAGCGAAUACCUACUGUUGUAUGUA